rnacentral:tRNA from 1 species
UCUCUGGUGGCUUAGACAGUAAAGAAUCCACCUGCAAUGUGGGAGACCUGGGUUCAAUCCCUGGGUUGAGAA